rnacentral:misc_RNA from 2 species
AACGCACCUUGCGCUCCUUGGUAUUCCGAGGAGCAUGCCUGUUUGAGUGUCAUGAAAUUCUCAACCUUUUCUUACUUUUGUAAGGAAAGGCUUGGAUGUGGAAGUCUGCAGGCCCUCCUAGUGAGGUCAGCUCUUCUCAAAUGCAUUAGCAGGACUUUUAUCAUUCACUGGUCUUGGUGUGAUAAUUAUCUACGCCAUUUCCAAUAUGUGUGGCUCAGCUUUCCAAUUGUCCCUUGGGACAACUUUCUUGACAACUUUGACCUCAAAUCAGGUAGGACUACCCGCUGAACUUAA